GUAACCCUACGGGAGGCAGCAGUGAGGAAUAUUGGUCAAUGGGCGGGAGCCUGAACCAGCCAAGCCGCGUGAAGGAAGAAGGCUCCAGGCGUCGUAAACUUCUUUUGCCGGGGAACAAAGGGCGCCACGCGUGGCGUUGUGAGUGUACCCGAAGAAAAAGCAUCGGCUAACUCCGUGCCAGCAGCCGCGGUAAUACGGAGGAUGCGAGCGUUAUCCGGAUUUAUUGGGUUUAAAGGGUGCGUAGGCGGUCCGGAAAGUCAGCGGUAAAAGCCGGGGGCGCAACCCCGGCGAG
rnacentral:rRNA from 1 species